rnacentral:rRNA from 1 species
GCGAACGCUUGCGGCGGGCUUAACACAUGCAAGUCGAGCGCGUACCUUCGGGUACGAGCGGCGGAUGGGUGAGUAACACGUAGGUUACCUGCCCUUCGGUGGGGGAUAACCAGGGGAAACCCUGGCUAAUACCGCAUAUGGUCUACGGAUCAAAGCAGCAAUGCGCCGGAGGAUGGGCCUGCGUCCGAUUAUUUAAUCCUAGUUGGCGGGGUAAUGGCCCACCAAGGGUACGAUCGGUAGCUGGUCUGAGAGGAUGAUCAGCCACACUGGAACUGAGACACGGUCCAGACUCCUACGGGAGGCAGCAGUGGGGAAUAUUGCGCAAUGGGCGAAAGCCUGACGCAGCCACGCCGCGUGUGUGAUGAAGGCCUUCGGGUUGUAAAGCACUGUCGAGGGGGAAGAAACCUGACGGUACCCCUCAAGAAAGCACCGGCUAACCCUGU